AGUGACAAGUCCCUAAGUAUCCUAGCUUUGCGGGGGUUUCUUUUAAGAUCCAGUUCAAAGGAAAGCCAGGCACUGCAGAGCUAGGAGAGGACAGACUAGCAAGGCAACAUCUGUAAAGUCCAUUGUAGUGUAUUGGUGACGGUAACAAACAGUGUGCUGCAAAGCUACGUAGCAGGGAGCCAGUCUGUACUUCUAGUAAGCGCAACAUUUACAGGCACAGUGUAUAAAAUCGAUGGCUACAGAAGUAGCCACCGCCAAUCCUCAGAACAGCAAAAGAAGUCCCGAGCUCGCUCUCUCUUUGCAGCUUGCAAAUGGACAAUUAUUUGCAAGAGAACCUCUAUACUUAGGCUGCCUCCCUGCCCGACGCCGACACUCAACCCCUGGGCUUUCUUAUUCUUGUGGACCCUCAAAACCUUGGCUUCCAAAGCUGCCAGCAACCCAGUCUUUUAAGCUCUUCAAGAAAUGUUUCCUCUUGUCACUAAAGCCAAUUUCACCCACUGUGGAAGUUUACAAAGGGAAGUGGAGAGUUUGGGUGAGGACUUUAAAUUAAAUCAACAGAACCUCCCCUGAAAUGAUGGGGGACCUAGAUUUGACCAAGAUAGGCUGUUAGUAUGGCAAACUAUUCCCAUUGACAUUCCUACCAAGUAACACAUUAUGGUUGCAGCUUCUGUUUCCUAAAGGCUAGUUUAAGGUCAGUGCUGUAGCAAGCUUCUCUAUCGAGCAGGGUCUGGGGUGCAGAGGGUUUGGUGACAUCUGGCUGGGUAGGACCUGUUUUUCUUUGGAAUUGUUGUCAUUAAUACUUUGCAUAAGUGCCCUCACCAUCCAAUAUGAGGCCAACAGGGUUGAGCCUCAUAGUCUGGGGCCCAGGAGUAGAACUGAAGGUACCAGAACUCACCCCUGAAGAGCCAGCCAGUUUCCUGCCACCUUGAGCUGGGUCAGCAAGCACUGGCGGCCUUCUGCGCUCCAGGAGCCUGACACAAUCUGACUUUGCCCUCCCUACAUGCUGGGGCCUCGGAGCCUAAUGCUGUCACUGUACUUGGGAACCAUUGCCCCCAGUCUUGGGAAGGGCAGGUGGAUGAGGAGAAAAGGAGGCCACUGUCGGGCGCCGGUUCCCUGUCCUUAACCUCUCUCCAGUCUGGGAUACUUGAGGAGGGAGGACCAAGAACAGCCUGGAUUCCCUGUUUAAAGAUUAGAUUGAGAAGAAUGGCAUGCAAGGUUCGUGGUGAAAGGGCAGAUAGACGCCUUGCUGGCCGUCGAACCAGAGGGAGCGGUUCGGCUUUCUAUCUUGCGACUUAGUUGCCGGAAUGAGGGGCGGGCAGGCCGACCCUGGUGCAUCUUUCCCUUGGAGGCCAGGCACACUAGGCGUGGCUAGGGAUAGCACUCAGAAACCUGGAAAAGUCUUUGCUUUCCUUUCCCUGCAACAACCAACCUUAUUCCGGGCCCAGUUCCCCAGCCCCUCGGCCCUUGCCCCGCCCCGCCUAGUCUCUCCGGAGCUCACCACUAAGUUCCCAAGGACGAGCAGUUGGGACCUGGGUUUGCUAGGGCCAGGCCACCUCCACGUUCCAAACUUUGGGAGUCCAGGAGCGGAAGCAAAAGAGUGGAACUGGCGGAGCCGAGAUGCGGAAGGCUGCCUGAGCAGAAGGUUGAGGGGAAGGGACUAGGACCCACGAACAGUUUCUCACAGGACAAGUCAGACUAGCCAGAGUAAAAUUUCAGGUCCUGGAGAUGAUUCAGAAGGGAUUAGAAAUUUGAACUGUGAUGACCUUGGACCUAAGACUGCAGGCAGAAUUGGUGCAGCAAGCCAGGCUGGCGUGGAAGCCCUGAGAACCCAGGAUACCUGCUACUCAAACCUGAGGGCAAAACCACGUCCUUGGAUGGCUGCCAGGAUAUGCUGGGGACAUUUGACAAACAGUACCAUGAUUGAAUGAAAAAGUGACUCGGGGGGCCUUGGGACACAUCAAUAUGAAAUAACUAUGUGAAAAGCUUAGAGGACGGAGGGUUGGAGAAAUCAAGAGAUGAAGCCAUCACCACCACCUCUACCCUCCCUUAAAAGCCUUUACAAUUGUUGUCCAUCCUCCCUGUCCCUCCCCCAGUCCUCUGUGGAUAGAGGUGAGUGAACAAGACCAGCAAUAGCUCUCUAAGGAGGAGCAGCAAAGGCCUGGAAUCUAUGAGAGCUGGCUUCUACUCCUUACUCUAUCCCUUACUAAUGGUGUGACUUCAGGAGAGCAAUUUCACUUUUCUGGCCUUCAGUUUGCUCAUCCAUAAAAUGGGGAUAACAUGUACCCUCAUCCACAGUAUAACCUUCUCAUGAGGAUCCAAUGAAAUAGUAUAUAUGAAAUGUUUCAUUAAUUGGGAAGAUCUCUGCGUAUUUGCUUCAUGAAUACUUCAAAAGAUCCUCAAAAUUUCAUAGACCGGGGUCACCCCAAACAGAUAAAGUUCUGUACCCUUAGUACAAUGAUGUCAAAUGCAAAUUCAAAGAAAACCAUUAAACUGUUAUUAGGAUCCCUGUGGGAUGCAUAUUGACUUAGAAAACCACAUAUUAACAUUAUCGCUGGUCUAUUGUAUUUUUAUUUAUUCUGUUAAAUAUAUUUCCCAGUUACAUAUUAAAUCUGGUUCAGAAUUGCUGCCAGUGAACUGCAUGUUUGACAUACCUGCCUUCAUAGAUAGUGCUUACUAAGUUAGUGUAGUCAAACAUUCACUAUCUGAUGGCCAACCUUUGACCAUGAGCCCCUCUAAGUUUAGUUGAAGUAGUAGUAGUAGUAUUAGUGGUGGUGGUGGUGGUGAUG